rnacentral:rRNA from 1 species
AUUGAACGCUGGCGGCAGGCCUAACACAUGCAAGUCGAGCGGAUGAAGGGAGCUUGCUCCUGGAUUCAGCGGCGGACGGGUGAGUAAUGCCUAGGAAUCUGCCUGGUAGUGGGGGAUAACGUCCGGAAACGGGCGCUAAUACCGCAUACGUCCUGAGGGAGAAAGUGGGGGAUCUUCGGACCUCACGCUAUCAGAUGAGCCUAGGUCGGAUUAGCUAGUUGGUGGGGUAAAGGCCUACCAAGGCGACGAUCCGUAACUGGUCUGAGAGGAUGAUCAGUCAAAACUGAAAUUAGACAAGGUCCCGGACCCCUAGGGGAGGCGGCAGUGGGAAUUAUUGGACAAUGGGGAAAAGCCGAAUCAGCCAAUGCCGGUGGUGUAAAGAAGUUUUUGGAAUUGUAAGCACUUUAAGUUGGGAGGAAGGGCAGUAAGUUAAUACCUUGCUGUUUUGACGUUACCAACAGAAUAAGCACCGGCUAACUUCGUG